rnacentral:ncRNA from 2 species
GGUGAGCCAAGGCCGAUGCUUCGUAUAACCUCACUGAUAAGGAGUGAGGGUCUCUACCUGGAGCCGUAAAUUCCAGAUUACGAAGAGAAAGUGCAUAGCG